rnacentral:rRNA from 1 species
CCUACGGGAGGCAGCAGUGGGGAAUAUUGCACAAUGGAGGAAAGUCUGAUGCAGCAACGCCGCGUGGAGGAUGACACAUUUCGGUGCGUAAACUCCUUUUAUAUAGGAAGAUAAUGACGGUACUA